GUAUAUAUAAUUUAAAUAAAAUAUUAAACUGUGACUUUAAUUAUGAGA
rnacentral:tRNA from 1 species